rnacentral:rRNA from 1 species
UAAAGAUUCAUCGCUGAUAGAUAGGCAUGCGUUCCAUUAGGCAGUUGGCGGGGUAACGGCCCACCAAACCGACGAUGGAUAGGGGUUCUGAGAGGAAGGUCCCCCACAUUGGUACUGAGACACGGACCAAACUCCUACGGGAGGCAGCAGUGAGGAAUAUUGGUCAAUGGGCGUAAGCCUGAACCAGCCGAGUCGCGUGAGGGAUGAAGGUUCUAUGGAUCGUAAACCUCUUUUAUAAGGGAAUAAAGUGUGGGACGUGUCCUGUUUUGUAUGUACCUUAUGAAUAAGGAUCGGCUAACUCCGUGCCAGCAGCCGCGGUAAUACGGAGGAUCCGAGCGUUAUCCGGAUUUAUUGGGUUUAAAGGGUGCGUAGGCGGCCUUUUAAGUCAGCGGUGAAAGUCUGUGGCUCAACCAUAGAAUUGCCGUUGAAACUGGGAGGCUUGAGUAUGUUUGAGGCAGGCGGAAUGCGUGGUGUAGCGGUGAAAUGCUUAGAUAUCACGCAGAACCCCGAUUGCGAAGGCAGCCUGCCAAGCCAUGACUGACGCUGAUGCACGAAAGCGUGGGGAUCAAACAGGAUUAGAUACCCUGGUAGUCCACGCAGUAAACGAUGAUCACUAGCUGUUUGCGAUACAGUGUAA